CUUGUACUCCCUCCGUUCUGAAUUACUUGUCGCAAGUAUGGAUGUAUCUAGAUGUAUUUUAGUUCUAGAUACAUCAAUUUCUUCGACGAGUAAGUUGGAACGGAGGGAGUAGUUG
rfam:Triticum urartu cultivar G1812 contig987145, whole genome shotgun sequence.